UCAAAAGUCAGCCGGGAGCCCUAGUGGCUGCCGUCUACACCCAAGUCUUUUGUGUACUCAUUGUUUCUCCCUCGGCGGCGUAAGUCGCCGAAUGGACAAACUAAAACCUUUUUGUAAUUGCAAUCAGCGUCAUUAAAUAUAAUAAUAUUUA
rnacentral:misc_RNA from 1 species